CUUCCGUAGGUGAACCUGCGGAGGGAUCAUUACAGAGGAACUCCAAACCCAUUGUGACCUUACCUAUGUUCUGUUGCCUCGGCGGCGUGGUCAGCGCCCCCUCUGAAAAGAGGACGAUGCCCUCCCGCCGGCAGCACCAAACUCUUUGAAUUUUACAGCGGAUUACAGUUCUGAUUUGAAAACAAAAAACAAGUUAAAACUUUCAACAACGGAUCUCUUGGUUCUGGCAUCGAUGAAGAACGCAGCGAAAUGCGAUAAGUAAUGUGAAUUGCAGAAUUCAGUGAAUCAUCGAAUCUUUGAACGCACAUUGCGCCCGGCAGUAAUCUGCCGGGCAUGCCUGUCCGAGCGUCAUUUCAACCCUCGAACCUCCGUUUCCUCAGGGAAGCUCAGGGUCGGUGUUGGGGCGCUACGGCGAGUCUUCGCGACCCUCCGUAGGCCCUGAAAUACAGUGGCGGUCCCGCCGCGGUUGCCUUCUGCGUAGUAAGUCUCUUUUGCAAGCUCGCAUUGGGUCCCGGCGGAGGCCUGCCGUCAAACCACCUAUAACUCCAGAUGGUUGACCUCGGAUCAGGUAGGGUUACCCGCUGAACUUAAGCAUAUCAAUAAGGCGGAGGAAUCCGGCUGGAAGCUCCC
rnacentral:rRNA from 1 species